UGGGGAAUAUUGCACAAUGGGCGCAAGCCUGAUGCAGCCAUGCCGCGUGUGUGAAGAAGGCCUUCGGGUUGUAAAGCACUUUCAGCGGGGAGGAAGGCGAUAAGGUUAAUAACCUUGUCGAUUGACGUUACCCGCAGAAGAAGCACCGGCUAACUCCGUGCCAGCAGCCGCGGUAAUACGGAGGGUGCAAGCGUUAAUCGGAAUUACUGGGCGUAAAGCGCACGCAGGCGGUCUGUCAAGUCGGAUGUGAAAUCCCCGGGCUCAACCUGGGAACUGCAUUCGAAACUGGCAGGCUAGAGUCUAGUAGAGGGGGGUAGAAUUCCAGGUGUAGCGGUGAAAUGCGUAGAGAUCUGGAGGAAUACCGGUGGCGAAGGCGGCCCCCUGGACAAAGACUGACGCUCAGGUGCGAAAGCGUGGGGAGCAAACAGG
rnacentral:rRNA from 1 species